rnacentral:rRNA from 1 species
UACGUAGGGUGCAAGCGUUGUCCGGAAUUAUUGGGCGUAAAGAGCUCGUAGGCGGUCUGUCGCGUCUGCUGUGAAAACUCAGGGCUUAACCCUGAGCUUGCAGUGGGUACGGGCAGACUAGAGUGCGGUAGGGGAGACUGGAAUUCCUGGUGUAGCGGUGAAAUGCGCAGAUAUCAGGAGGAACACCGGUGGCGAAGGCGGGUCUCUGGGCCGUAACUGGCGCUGAGGAGCGAAAGCAUGGGGAGCGAACAGG